rnacentral:rRNA from 1 species
UACGAAGGGGGCGAGCGUUGUUCGGAUUUACUGGGCGUAAAGGGCGCGUAGGCGGCGGGCCAAGUCGAGUGUGAAAGCCCCGGGCUCAACCUGGGAGGUGCGCUCGAGACUGGUUUGCUGGAGUUCGGGAGAGGAGCGUGGAAUUCCCAGUGUAGAGGUGAAAUUCGUAGAUAUUCGCAAGAACACCAGUGGCGAAGGCGGCUCACUGGCCCGGUACUGACGCUGAGGUGCGAAAGCGUGGGGAGCAAACAGG